UACGGGGGGGGCAAGCGUUGUUCGGAAUUACUGGGCGUGAAGGGCUCGUAGGCGGCCAACUAAGUCCGACGUGAAAUCCCCAGGCUUAACCUGGGAACUGCGUCGGAUACUGGAUGGCUUGAAUUCGGGAGAGGGAUGGCAGAAUUCCAGGUGUAGCGGUGAAAUGCGUAGAUAUCUGGAGGAAGUCGACCGGUAGGCGGAAGGCGGCGAUCCCUGGACC
rnacentral:rRNA from 1 species